rnacentral:SRP_RNA from 1 species
GCCGGGUGUUGUGGUGGGCACCUGUGGUCCCAGCUACUUGGGAGGCUGAGGUGGGAGACUCGCUUGAGCCCAGGAGUUGGAGGUUACUGUGAGCUGUGAUGCCACAGUACUCUACCAAGAGCAAUAAAGUGAGACUCUGUCUCUA